rnacentral:rRNA from 1 species
CAGCAGCCGCGGUAAUGCGUAAGGUGCAAGCGUUAAUCGGAAUUACUGGGCGUAAAGCGUGCGCAGGCGGUUUGUUAAGACAGAUGUGAAAUCCCCGGGCUCAACCUGGGAACUGCAUUUGUGACUGGCAGGCUAGAGUAUGGCAGAGGGGGGUGGAAUUCCGCGUGUAGCAGUGAAAUGCGUAGAUAUGCGGAGGAACACCGAUGGCGAAGGCAGCCCCCUGGGCCGAUACUGACGCUCAUGCACGAAAGCGUGGGGAGCAAACAGGAUUAGAUACCCCGGUAGUCCCUGUCUCUUAUAC